rnacentral:rRNA from 1 species
GACGAACGCUGGCGGCGUGCCUAAUACAUGCAAGUCGAGCGCUGAAGGCUGGUACUUGUACCAACUGGAUGAGCAGCGAACGGGAGAGUAACGUGUGGGGAAUCUGCCUUUGAGCGGGGGACAACAUUUGGAAACGAAUGCUAAUACCGCAUAAUAGCUUUAAACACAAGUUUUAAGUUUGAAAGAUGCAAUUGCAUCACUCAAAGAUGAUCCCGCGUUGUAUUAGCUAGUUGGUGAGGUAAAGGUUCACCACGGCGAUGAUACAUAGCCGACCGGAGAGGGGGAUAGGCGGCCUUGGGACGGGAACACGGCCCAAACUACUGCGAGAGGGAGCAGAAGGGAACCGUCGGCAGUGGAAGGAAGUCUGACCCAGUAGCGCCGCGCGAGAGACGGAGGGUUUCGGAUCGGGAAAAUCUGUUUGUAGUGAAGAACGUUGGUGAGAGUGGAAGGCGCAUCUAGUGACGGUACCUGCACAAGAAGCGACGGCUAACUACGUG